UGCUCAACAAUGAUGCUUGAAAAAUAAAUGUCUGAACAAAUGAGACAUCUGUGAUUUUUAACUUUUCCCUGAGGAGAGCA